CCUUCGGGAGCUUUUAUACAGGUGCUGCACGGCUGUCGUCAGCUCGUGUCGUGAGAUGUUGGGUUAAGUCCCGCAACGAGCGCAACCCUCGUCACUAGUUACUAACGGUUCGGCCGAGGACUCUAGUGAGACUGCCUUCGUAAGGAGGAGGAAGGUGAGGACGACGUCAAGUCAUCAUGGCCCUUACGGCUAGGGCAACACACGUGCUACAAUGGUUGGGACAAUGAGACGCAAUACCGCGAGGUGGAGCAAAUCUAUAAACCCAAUCUUAGUUCGGAUUGUUCUCUGCAACUCGAGAACAUGAAGCUGGAAUCACUAGUAAUCGUAGAUCAGCUAUGCUACGGUGAAUACGUUCCCGGGUCUUGUACUCACCGCCCGUCACACCAUGGGAGUUGAUUUCACCCGAAGCGGGGAAGCUAAACUGGCUACCCUCCACGGUGGAAUUAGCGACUGGGGUGAAGUCGUAACAAGGUA
rnacentral:rRNA from 1 species